UACGUAGGGGGCAAGCGUUGUCCGGAUUUAUUGGGCGUAAAGAGCGUGUAGGCGGCCUGACAGGUCUGCUGUGAAAACUCGAGGCUCAACCUCGAGAUGUCGGCGGAAACCGUCUGGCUAGAGUCCGGAAGAGGAGAGUGGAAUUCCUGGUGUAGCGGUGAAAUGCGCAGAUAUCAGGAAGAACACCGGUGGCGAAGGCGGUUCUCUGGGCCUUACCUGACGCUGAGGAGCGAAAGCAUGGGGAGCGAACAGG
rnacentral:rRNA from 1 species